CCAGACUCCUACGGGAGGCAGCAGUGGGGAAUAUUGCGCAAUGGGGGCAACCCUGACGCAGCCAUGCCGCGUGAAUGAAGAAGGCCUUCGGGUUGUAAAGUUCUUUCGGUAGCGAGGAAGGCAUUUAGUUUAAUAAACUGGAUGAUUGACGUUAACUACAGAAGAAGCACCGGCUAACUCCGUGCCAGCAGCCGCGGUAAUACGGAGGGUGCGAGCGUUAAUCGGAAUAACUGGGCGUAAAGGGCACGCAGGCGGUGACUUAAGUGAGGUGUGAAAGCCCCGGGCUUAACCUGGGAAUUGCAUUUCAUACUGGGUCGCUAGAGUACUUUAGGGAGGGGUAGAAUUCCACGUGUAGCGGUGAAAUGCGUAGAGAUGUGGAGGAAUACCGAAGGCGAAGGCAGCCCCUUGGGAAUGUACUGACGCUCAUGUGCGAAAGCGUGGGGAGCAAACAGGAUUAGAUACCCUGGUAGUCCACGCUGUAAACGAUGUCGAUUUGGGGGUUGAGCUUUAAGUUUGGCGCCCGUAGCUAACGUGAUAAAUCGACCGCCUGGGGAGUACGGCCGCAAGGUUAAAACUCAAAUGAAUUGACGGGGGCCCGCACAAGAAU
rnacentral:rRNA from 1 species